rnacentral:rRNA from 1 species
CUGUUCUGGGCUACACACGUGCUACAAUGGCCGGUACAAAGAGUUGCGAUACCGCGAGGUGGAGCUAAUCUCAUAAAGCCGGUCUCAGUUCGGAUUGGAGUCUGCAACUCGACUCCAUGAAGUUGGAAUCGCUAGUAAUCGCGGAUCAGCACGCCGCGGUGAAUACGUUCCCGGGCCUU